AGAGUUUGAUCCUGGCUCAGGACGAACGCUGGCGGCGUGCUUAACACAUGCAAGUCGAACGGAAUCCAUGGUGUAGCAAUACACCGGAAGAUUUAGUGGCGAACGGGUGAGGAUCACGUGAGAAACCUGCCCCAGACUUUGGGAUAACAAUUGGAAACGAUUGCUAAUGCCGAAUGACGUCGGAGAACCGCAUGGUUCACUGACGAAAGGAAAUCCGGUUUGGGAGGGUCUCGCGGCCUAUCAGCUUGUUGGUGGGGUAAUGGCCUACCAAGGCAACGACGGGUAGCUGGUCUGAGAGGAUGAUCAGCCACACUGGGACUGAGACACGGCCCAGGCUCCUACGGGAGGCAGCAGUGGGGAAUCUUGCGCAAUGGGCGAAAGCCUGACGCAGCAACGCCGCGUGCGGGAUGAAGGCCUUCGGGCUGUAAACCGCUUUCAGCAGGAACGAAAAUGACGGUACCUGCAGAAGAAGGAGCGGCCAACUACGUGCCAGCAGCCGCGGUGACACGUAGGCUCCAAGCGUUGUCCGGAUUUAUUGGGCGUAAAGAGCUCGUAGGCGGUUUAGUAAGUCGGGUGUUAAAACUCUGGGCUCAACCCGGAGAGGCCAUCCGAUACUGCUGUGACUUGAGUUCAGGAGGGGAGCGGGGAAUUCCUAGUGUAGCGGUGAAAUGCGCAGAUAUUAGGAGGAACACCGGUGGCGAAGGCGCCGCUCUGGACUGAAACUGACGCUG
rnacentral:rRNA from 1 species